UACGAGGGGGGCAAAUGUUGUUCGGAAUCACUGGGCGUAAAGGGAGCGUAGGCGGGUUUCUAAGUCAGGUGUUUAAUCCCGGGGCCCGACCCCGGACAGGCACUUGAAACUGGGAAUCUUGAAUAGUGGAGAGGUCAGUGGAAUUGGGGGUGUAGCGGUGGAAUGCGUAGAGAUCCCCAAGAACACCAGUUGCGAAGGCGGCUGACUGGACACAUAUUGACGCUGAGGCUCGAAAGCAUGGGGAGCAAACAGG
rnacentral:rRNA from 1 species